rnacentral:tRNA from 1 species
GGGCCUAUAGCUCAGCGGUAGAGCCACCGGCUCAUAACCGGUUAGUCCCAGGUUCGAAUCCUGGUAGGCCCA